rnacentral:tmRNA from 1 species
GGGAAUCUUAAACUUAGUUGAAUAGUCGUUAUAAGAUCCAGUCCGGAGGAGCUGUAGCGGUGAAUUUAAAGUUCGGAAUAAACAUGUAGAGGCUGAUCGGCUUUGCGUUUCGGACGGGAGUUCGAUUCUCCCCGCCUCCACAC